rnacentral:lncRNA from 1 species
CCAGACCUUGAUUCACAUUCUGAGAAUGUAAGCUCUUCUAAAGUGCUCUUCAUAGCACGCUGUUCUUUAUAAAAAGAACCAUGGACAUUGUAGGAACUGUUUUGAAAGGCUGAUGGGUUGUGGUAAUCCACUUAAUGACAGGCAGACAAAGCAAGAACUGUAACCUGAAGAGCUGCUUAGAAAUUACGUGUCUCUCCUCCCACCUCCAGGGCCUGCUACAUUGGCCUGGAGACCUCAUGUUGCCAGGCUGACCCAGGCCCCAUGUAUCUUAGGUCUUCUGGAAGAUUUUGCUUCCCCAGCAUCUGCUUCUACUUCUUUUAAUCCUAGCACUGUUGUUUUGGCAAACUCCUCAUCCCCCAACUCUCAAUCCAUGGAAUUCAAGCGGGAGCUGAUACUACUUCCUCUUCCCCUCAACAUAUAUAUCUGAGCUCCAAGGGUGCGCACGUUCCUUGGCCUGGCUAAAGCAUGCUACAUUCCUUUGGCUAAGUGACUGGUCUAGGGAUGGUUACCUGUUUCAAAAUGGUUCAGUGAACUUUGGCCUACAGAUCUUGUUGGAACUAUUGAGAAAGAGACUCUCUCUGUGCUAAGCUGGUGAUCAGGGACCACCCUGAGGCGGAUUGCUUCUUGACAAAGAGAAAGAGAACAGAGGAAAGCAAAGAGAUGGAGCAAGACAAUUCUUGACAUCUUUUAAAUACCUGGAUCCAGUCAUAUUUACCAGAUAUGCUUACCGGAUUUUUCUGUUAUGUGAUGAAACUAAUGUUCAGAAGAGUUAGGUAAGUUGUUCAUGGCCAUGCGGCCAAAGAGGACAAGUCUGUAUUCAAAGAGACCUCAUUUGGAAGCCAAGCUUGAUAUGAAACAGAUUUUGACUUACAGUCUUGUGACAGGUGUGGCUGGAGAGAUAUUCAGGCUAAUGAGGGCCUCUCAGCAUGCCUGACUUCGGAACGGGAGGCACAGUCAACAGGACUGUCAUGUGUGGCGUUGACCCUCAGUGCCACCUUGGACCUCGGUAUGCUGACCACCAGCUUCAGUUAGGACCUUUGGUCAGGUUACUUGCCAAACAAGAUCUAAAGGAAUUCUCUACCCAGAACUCUAUAAAAACAAGAAGAAGAAAUAAUUAAGAACACCGUGUAGAACAACACAGCUUUCAUUCCAGUUUAUAUAUUGUAAAAUAAAGCCACACAGAUCCUAAAC